GCCCCGGUGGUGCAGUGGUCAAGCAUACUGGCCUUUCAAGCCGGUGACUCGGGUUCGAAUCCCGGCUGGGGUA
rnacentral:tRNA from 1 species